rnacentral:rRNA from 2 species
UGGAUGGUCCCGCGGCGUAUUAGCUAGAUGGUGAGGUAACGGCUCACCAUGGCAAUGAUACGUAGCCGACCUGAGAGGGUAAUCGGCCACAUUGGGACUGAGACACGGCCCAAACUCCUACGGGAGGCAGCAGUAGGGAAUCUUCCACAAUGGACGAAAGUCUGAUGGAGCAACGCCGCGUGAGUGAAGAAGGGUUUCGGCUCGUAAAACUCUGUUGUUAAAGAAGAACAUAUCUGAGAGUAACUGUUCAGGUAUUGACGGUAUUUAACCAGAAAGCCACGGCUAACUACGUGCCAGCAGCCGCGGUAAUACGUAGGUGGCAAGCGUUGUCCGGAUUUAUUGGGCGUAAAGCGAGCGCCGGCGGUUUUUUAAGUCUGAUGUGAAAGCCUUCGGCUCAACCGAAGAAGUGCAUCGGAAACUGGGAAACUUGAGUGCAGAAGAGGACAGUGGAACUCCAUGUGUAGCGGUGAAAUGCGUAGAUAUAUGGAAGAACACCAGUGGCGAAGGCGGCUGUCUGGUCUGUAACUGACGCUGAGGCUCGAAAGUAUGGGUAGCAAACAGGAUUAGAUACCCUGGUAGUCCAUACCGUAAACGAUGAAUGCUAAGUGUUGGAGGGUUUCCGCCCUUCAGUGCUGCAGCUAACGCAUUAAGCAUUCCGCCUGGGGAGUACGGCCGCAAGGCUGAAACUCAAAGGAAUUGACGGGGGCCCGCACAAGCGGUGGAGCAUGUGGUUUAAUUCGAAGCUACGCGAAGAACCUUACCAGGUCUUGACAUACUAUGCAAAUCUAAGAGAUUAGACGUUCCCUUCGGGGACAUGGAUACAGGUGGUGCAUGGUUGUCGUCAGCUCGUGUCGUGAGAUGUUGGGUUAAGUCCCGCAACGAGCGCAACCCUUAUUAUCAGUUGCCAGCAUUAAGUUGGGCACUCUGGUGAGACUGCCGGUGACAAACCGGAGGAAGGUGGGGAUGACGUCAAAUCAUCAUGCCCCUUAUGACCUGGGCUACACACGUGCUACAAUGGAUGGUACAACGAGUUGCGAACUCGCGAGAGUAAGCUAAUCUCUUAAAGCCAUUCUCAGUUCGGAUUGUAGGCUGCAACUCGCCUACAUGAAGUCGGAAUCGCUAGUAAUCGCGGAUCAGCAUGCCGCGGUGAAUACGUUCCCGGGCCUUGUACACACCGCCCGUCACACCAUGAGAGUUUGUAACACCCAAAGUCGGUGGGGUAAC